UAUGUACCUCAUGUGAUUAUUCCUCGGCAUAUAUAAGUGAAAUGUUCAAUAGUUUUCUACUUGCAUGAAAACGUGUAAUAUGUGUGAGUAUCAGUAUUUAAUGCUAUAUUAAGCACCGAAGCCGAUGCUCACUUGUUGGUAGUGUGGGGUUAACCUGCUAGUCGCCUUCGGGCAUCACUCACGGCCAAGUCGCGCUCAGACAAAGACAGGCAGGAUGGUGACCGAGUUCUUACGGUCAUGCCUACCUCAUCAAUAAACGUCAGAGAGAGAA